rnacentral:rRNA from 1 species
CCCAAUACCCAAAAAUACCUUUAACCCUUUAUUUUUACUGAAUGAGUCUAUACAAUUAUAGAAGCCCCCAUGCUAAAACUAGUAACAAGAAAUUGACUUUUCUCCAAAGUACAAACAUAAGCCAAAAUGGACAAACCAUUGGUCGUUAACGUCAAUAUGGUUAAUAUAGUAACCAUGCUAGAAAACUCUAUUGCCUCCUACGUUAACCUUACACAAGUGUACUCCUGGAAAGAUUAAAAGAAAGGGAAGGAACUCGGCAAAUAAUAACCCCGCCUGUUUACCAAAAACAUCGCCUCUUGACAUACCAUAAGAGGUCCAGCCUGCCCAGUGAUAUAAUUAAACGGCCGCGGUACCCUGACCGUGCAAAGGUAGCAUAAUCACUUGUUCUCUAAAUAAGGACUCGUAUCAACGGCAUCACGAGGGUUAUACUGUCUCCCCAUUCUAAUCAGUGAAACUGACUUCCCCGUGAAGAGGCGGGAAUGCUAAUACAAGACGAGAAGACCCCAUGGAGCUUUAAACCCAAUGUCAACCUCCAAUAAACCUACCUAAAAAACAGAGAGGCUAUGAACAUUGGUUUUGGGUUGGGGUGACCACGGAGAAAAACAAAACCUCCAUGACGAAAGGACCUUAAUCCUAAUCUACGAGCUAUACUCCAAGAAUCACUAAUUUGACAUAUCUGAUCCGGCAACCGAUCAACGAACCAAGUUACCCUGGGGAUAACAGCGCAAUCCAUUUCAAGAGCCCCUAUCGACAAAUGGGUUUACGACCUCGAUGUUGGA